rnacentral:lncRNA from 1 species
UCUUUUUGAAAAAUAGUCUAGCCGGGCGGCUAUACUUUUUGGGACACGUGGCGCCUAAUCGCUGGAGGCUCCUUUUUUUUUUAAGACCAAAAAAUAGUACAGCCGCACGGCUAGACUCGGUGUUUUUAAAAAGUCGACACGUGGCGCCUUUUAAUAUUAAAAAUAGUAUAGCCGCACGGCUAUACUCAGUUUUUGUUUUUUUAUUUUUUUUUUUAAAUUUUUUUUUUUUUUUAAAUUUUUUAUGAAAAGGUAGGCUACACCCUUUAAGUAGCAUGGUAUGUAUUUCACUUUUUUAAUUACUUUGAUUAGUAAAGGAGAAAAAGAAGAAGAGAAAUUGAAUUACUAUUCAUUAAGUAAUAUAAUUCAUGAAGUUAAUUAAAAUAUUUAAUCAUAAUCAGUCAUUAAAUAAAUAAUAAUUAAAAUAUAAUUGCUAAUUCAACUAAUUAAACCUCCAAAUAUAUUAUGUAGUUACUAAAAAUAAAAUGUUUAAAAAUUAAUUAACCUAAACAUCCUAAGUUUAUACUUAUUUUUUAAAAUUAAGACCUCUCCCGACGAAAUUUCGUCGGCAAAGAUAUUUUCGUCGGGGCAAACCUAAUCCGGCAAAUUUUGUCGGCAUAGAUCUUUGCCGACGAAAUUUCGUCGGGAGAAGUGUUCAUGUGUUUUUUUUUUUUUUGAAAAGUAUAAAUUUUAAAAAUAUGGAUAUGUUUAAACUAGCAAAUUAAUAUCUAUAAAGUACAAGCUAAUGCAACUUGGGGGGUCCUUCUUUCUUUAAUUUAUUUAUUAAAUACUACAUUUACAUAGUAUAGCCGUGCGGCUGUACUAUAUUUUUCUUUUUGAAAAAUAGUCUAGCCGGGCGGCUAUACUUUUUGGGACACGUGGCGCCUAAUCGCUGGAGGCUCCUUUUUUUUUUAAGACCAAAAAAUAGUACAGCCGGACGGCUAGACUCGGUGUUUUUAAAAAGUCGACACGUGGCGCCUUUUAAUAUUAAAAAUAGUAUAGCCGCACGGCUAUACUCAGUUUUUGUUUUUGUUUUUUUUUUUUUAAAUUUUUUUUUUUAUUUUUUAUUUUUUAUGAAAAGGUAGGCUACACCCUUUAAGUAGCAUGGUAUGUAUUUCACUUUUUUAAUUACUUCGAUUAGUAAAGGAGAAAAAGAAGAAGAGAAAUUGAAUUACUAUUCAUUAAGUAAUAUAAUUCAUGAAGUUAAUUAAAAUAUUUAAUCAUAAUCAGUCAUUAAAUAAAUAAUAAUUAAAAUAUAAUUGCUAAUUCAACUAAUUAAACCUCCAAAUAUAUUAUGUAGUUACUAAAAAUAAAAUGUUUAAAAAUUAAUUAACCUAAACAUCCUAAGUUUAUACUUAUUUUUUAAAAUUAAGACCUCUCCCGACGAAAUUUCGUCGGCAAAGAUAUUUUCGUCGGGGCAAACCUAAUCCGGCAAAUUUUGUCGGCAUAGAUAUUUGCCGACGAAAUUUCGUCGGGAGAAGUGUUCAUGUGUUUUUUUUUUUUUUGAAAAGUAUAAAUUUUAAAAAUAUGGAUAUGUUUAAACUAGCAAAUUAAUAUCUAUAAAGUACAAGCUAAUGCAACUUGGGGGGUCCUUCUUUCUUUAAUUUAUUUAUUAAAUACUACAUUUACAUAGUAUAGCCGUGCGGCUGUACUAUAUUUUUCUUUUUGAAAAAUAGUCUAGCCGGGCGGCUAUACUUUUUGGGACACGUGGCGCCUAAUCGCUGGAGGCUCCUUUUUUUUUUAAGACCAAAAAAUAGUACAGCCGGACGGCUAGACUCGGUGUUUUUAAAAAGUCGACACGUGGCGCCUUUUAAUAUUAAAAAUAGUAUAGCCGCACGGCUAUACUCAGUUUUUGUUUUUUUUUUUUUUUAAAAUUUUUUUUUUAUUUUUUAUUUUUUAUGAAAAGGUAGGCUACCCCCUUUAAGUAGCAUGGGAUGUAUUUCACUUUUUUAAUUACUUUGAUUAGUAAAGGAGAAAAAGAAGAAGAGAAAUUGAAUUACUAUUCAUUAAGUAAUAUAAUUCAUGAAGUUAAUUAAAAUAUUUAAUCAUAAUCAGUCAUUAAAUAAAUAAUAAUUAAAAUAUAAUUGCUUAUUCAACUAAUUAAAUCUCCAAAUAUAUUAUGUAGUUACUAAAAAUAAAAUGUUUAAAAAUUAAUUAACCUAAACAUCCUAAGUUUAUACUUAUUUUUUAAAAUUAAGACCUCUCCCGACGAAAUUUCGUCGGCAGAGAUAUUUUCGUCGGGGCAAACCUAAUCCGGCAAAUUUUGUCGGCAUAGAUCUUUGCCGACGAAAUUUCGUCGGGAGAAUUGUUCAUGUGUUUUUUUUUUUUUUGAAAAGUAUAAAUUUUAAAAAUAUGGAUAUGUUUAAACUAGCAAAUUAAUAUCUAUAAAGUACAAGCUAAUGCAACUUGGGGGGUCCUUCUUUCUUUCAUUUAUUUAUUAAAUACUACAUUUACAUAGUAUAGCCGUGCGGCUGUACUAUAUUUUUCUUUUUGAAAAAUAGUCUAGCCGGGCGGCUAUACUUUUUGGGACACGUGGCGCCUAAUCGCUGGAGGCUCCUUUUUUUUAGACCAAAAAAUAGUACAGCCGCACGGCUAGACUCGGUGUUUUUAAAAAGUCGACACGUGGCGCCUUUUAAUAUUAAAAAUAGUAUAGCCGCACGGCUAUACUCAGUUUUUGUUUUUUUUUUUUUUUUAAUUUUUUUUUAAUUUUUUAUUUUUUAUGAAAAGGUAGGCUACACCCUUUAAGUAGCAUGGUAUGUAUUUCACUUUUUUAAUUACUUUGAUUAGUAAAGGAGAAAAAGAAGAAGAGAAAUUGAAUUACUAUUCAUUAAGUAAUAUAAUUCAUGAAGUUAAUUAAAAUAUUUAAUCAUAAUCUGUCAUUAAAUAAAUAAUAAUUAAAAUAUAAUUGCUAAUUCAACUAAUUAAACCUCCAAAUAUAUUAUGUAGUUACUAAAAAUAAAAUGUUUAAAAAUUAAUUAACCUAAACAUCCUAAGUUUAUACUUAUUUUUUAAAAUUAAGACCUCUCCCGACGAAAUUGCGUCGGCAAAGAUAUUUUCGUCGGGGCAAACCUAAUCCGGCAAAUUUUGUCGGCAUAGAUAUUUGCCGACGAAAUUUCGUCGGGAGAAGUGUUCAUGUGUUUUUUUUUUUUUUUGAAAAGUAUAAAUUUUAAAAAUAUGGAUAUGUUUAAACUAGCAAAUUAAUAUCUAUAAAGUACAAGCUAAUGCAACUUGGGGGGUCCUUCUUUCUUUAAUUUAUUUAUUAAAUACUACAUUUACAUAGUAUAGCCGUGCGGCUGUACUAUAUUUUUCUUUUUGAAAAAUAGUCUAGCCGGGCGGCUAUACUUUUUGGGACACGUGGCGCCUAAUCGCUGGAGGCUCCUUUUUUUUUUAAGACCAAAAAAUAGUACAGCCGCACGGCUAGACUCGGUGUUUUUAAAAAGUCGACACGUGGCGCCUUUUAAUAUUAAAAAUAGUAUAGCCGCACGGCUAUACUCAGUUUUUGUUUUAUUUUUAAAUUUUUUUUAUUUAUUUAUGAAAAGGUAGGCUACACCCUUUAAGUAGCAUGGUAUGUAUUUCACUUUUUUAAUUACUUUGAUUAGUAAAGGAGAAAAAGAAGAAGAGAAAUUGAAUUACUAUUCAUUAAGUAAUAUAAUUCAUGAAGUUAAUUAAAAUAUUUAAUCAUAAUCACUCAUUAAAUAAAUAAUAAUUAAAAUAUAAUUGCUAAUUCAACUAAUUAAAUCUCCAAAUAUAUUAUGUAGUUACUAAAAAUAAAAUUUUUAAAAAUUAA